rnacentral:rRNA from 1 species
UACAGAGGUCUCAAGCGUUGUUCGGAUUCAUUGGGCGUAAAGGGUGCGUAGGUGGCGCCGUAAGUCAGGUGUGAAAUUUCGGAGCUUAACUCCGAAACUGCAUUUGAUACUGCGGUGCUUGAGGACUGGAGAGGAGACUGGAAUUCACGGUGUAGCAGUGAAAUGCGUAGAUAUCAGGAGGAAUACCGAUGGCGAAGGCAGGUCUCUGGGCUGACACUGACGCUCAUGCACGAAAGCGUGGGGAGCAAACAGG